rnacentral:rRNA from 1 species
AUACGUAGGGUGCAAGCGUUAAUCGGAAUUACUGGGCGUAAAGCGUGCGCAGGCGGUUUUGUAAGACAGAGGUGAAAUCCCCGGGCUCAACCUGGGAACUGCCAUGGUGACUGCAAGGCUGGAGUGCGGCAGAGGGGGAGGGAAUUCCGCGUGUAGCGGUGAAAUGCGUAGAUAUGCGGAGGAACACCGAUGGCGAAGGCAAUCCCCUGGGCCUGCACUGACGCUCAUGCACGAAAGCGUGGGGAGCAAACAGGAUUAGAUACCCUGGUAGUCCACGCCCUAAACGAUGUCAACUGGUUGUUGGGGAUUUAUUUUCUCAGUAACGAAGCCAACGCGUGAAGUUGACCGCCUGGGGAGUACGGCCGCAAGGUUAAAACUCAAAUGAAUUGACGGGG